AGAUCUCUGCAGGCUUCAUACUAAGAGAAACUUUUCUUUGCUGUUCUUGACCUUGUCCUACUGUAUUGCUUUAGGAGUUCCACAGGAUGGCUGACUGAGCGGAUACAUAUCAUAAUAACAGUGGCUGUAAUUGCUAACACUCAGCACUCACAAUACGCUUUACUAAUAGAAGUGAUGAUGAUGACGAUGAGCAUGAUGAUGAUGAUGGCCUUGAUGGUGAUGCUGCCAAUCUUUUCUGCAUAGCCCUCUGAGAGUUCAGACUGUCAUCUAAGUUUCUAUUAAAAGUUGGAGGACAAAUGUUGACAGGCAGGACAGAAGGUGAAAUGGAAACAAAAGCAGCUUGCUGAGGGGUCCUGCGGUGACUGUCCAGCCUUUCCAGCCGCUGAAUCACGGGACACGCUCGAGGACACUCACCUGUUAGGCUCGCCAGGACCCUCUGAGUGAGGACAAAAAACAUACUCUUCAUUUUAUAUUAGAAAAAUGGUGAGAGUUCAACUGAUCCAUAAGGUCUUAUAAAAAACAAUAAACAAAGCUACAUCCUU